AAUAGCAGCAGAGAUUGAGCCAGGAAAGACUGUGGAGUAGAUGGUCAUCGAGCAGCCAACCAACCGGCAGGCAUGUGCGAGCAAUUAUCCAAUGACUGGCUACAAAGCGGCUGCUCAUCACCAUGAGACAAGGAAAUACGAGCUGCUGGCGUGUCACUGUGUGCCCCACAGCGAUCCAGCUGCUGCUGGCAGCAUGGCCAAGGAUACCAAGGUUAUGAACCAGGCGACCCAGAGGUGUGUUUUUUGGGGAGAGGAAAAAGUACUUCCCACACUUGAAUUAAAGAGGGCACAUUGAUUUUUGAGUGCCGUCCUUGAUGCAUCUGUCAAGAUCAGGAGAUAGAGUGCAGGACGCUCGUCACAGGAAGAGAGAUUCACGGGAUGGUUAAAGAGCAAAUUGCGCUGGGGAAAAAUGUAUAUUCUGUCAAGGAACUCAUAACAUGCCAGGCUUCCUUCGGGUCCAGCUAUCAGUCAUUAGAGGAAUCCCCCUUCUUGAAUUACUCAGCCACUAACUGACAGUGACCCGGGAGGUGCGGAUGUUCAUGCAAAUGCACACUGGGCGGUCAGGCCCACCGGACUUCACACUCAGGCCAGCGCUAACUUCUGAUGUGAUCCAGGUCUUCAGUGAAACUAAUUUGAAGAAAUCCACCAGACAGUACAAAGUAGGUCCUAUUUUGAAAACGUGGCAGGAAACCAUCAUUGAGAAAUUAGAGGGACUGCUGGAAAGCCCCUUAAAGCUGUAGUGUUUUCCCCCAUUGACCCUCCUAUUAUCAGAUUUAAUUUGAAGUAUUUCUUAGGAACCUUCUGUAGACCGGCAUCUUAACUGGGUUAAAAUGUUACCUGGGAGAGAUGCCAAAUAAACCAAUCUGUGUCAAUGUGCUAUAUCUCUGAUUAAUUCAUGGUUGCCGUGGCUUGUGGUCAGUGGCUUGUGGCAGGGUGGCUAGGGUGGGCUGGGCAGCAUGCUAGCCUCUGGAUCCUCUGGGGUCAGCUCCCUCGUGGUGUGUGGCUCACUCCUGGUGAUGUGAAGGUUGAAGGUGUAGACAAACUAGAACUCUCUCUGGUUACGCUGAUUUGGCAAUGAGCUACCCCUGGUCAGUGCGUUAGUGAAACUAUCCCCACGGCAGGUCUCAGAGCAGGUUACUGUGCUGUGCUCUGACUGAGGGCUGGGGUGCAGAUAUCUAGGGGUACUACUACUACUCAGCUUUCUGGCGCUGUGAGAAAAUACUUCAGAAAAUCAACUCAAAAGGAGUAAAGAUUUUUGCUUAUGGUUUCAAAGAUUUCAGACCCCAGUUUUUUGGCCCCUUUACUUUGGGUUGGUGGCAAGGUGAGUACAGUGUGGUAGGCUGGCAGUUGGGAAACACAGAAAGGGACAGGAAGGGGUGGAUCUCGAGGCACAGCCCUAGUGACCUAACUUCCUUCCAUGAGGAUCCACCUCUUGAAUGCUCCGCCAUUUCCCAGUAACAGGAGAGGCUUGACCAAGUACUUAGCAUAGGGGACUUUGAAGGCCAUUUAAAGUCCAAGUUGUAAGACCGGGCAUAAAAUAUGGGAACCUAAGUGCAGGACCCAGGACCUACAGAGUUGAAUGGAAUACAGCUUGAGCGAAGAUGAGAGACAGAGAUGUCUGGGUAGAAGCCAUGUUUUAUUUAUUCUUGGGUUGAGACUCUGAGUCUCAGACUAGGAGUUUCUGCCAACUUCAGAAAGUGACACGCAUUCUCCUUUGAUGUGGAGGCUGCUGUUAUUUGGAGGGUUGUGUAUAUUUGCUUGGUUUUUGAGGUGUUCCUUCACAGAGUAGGUAAAAAGGUCUUGCCUUAUCAGUAAGCAAAUAAGCCCUGAGUGAGGCUUCCUGGCUGGUUUCCAGCAAGAGGAUUAGCAGUGAUGUAAAGAAACACAAAUGCACCUCCAAGAGUAUCUUCUUGGCACUGGCGUCAGCCAACAGCUGGCCUGCAGGAGAAAUGCAAUCUUUUAAUUCAGGACCAAAAAUAUAACUUUUCAAAUGGGUCUCCGGAGUCCACGGUGAAAGUCUGACACUUUAUGACUAGGUGAUUCCAUCUAGGCUAGGUUCAGAGUGAAAAGUCUCACUGCGCCACAAGCUGGGUCUCAGUGGGGGACCUGGGGACCCACCCCCAGAUGACUUUGACAAGUGGCAUUCUAAUGUGGAGCCUAGGGCUGGCAGGCUGGCAGGUGUGAGGGAACAAGGAGAGUAUUAUUAUCUUAAACAUGAUUAGCACUGGGCAAGCAGCUUAUUCGUUAUCUGCAGAUGGAAAUGCAGGACGAUGUAAAGCUUAUGGCUCAUGGAUGGAUCAUUAGGGGGAGCUCUGCACUUGACUAAGAUGUAUCGAUGGUUUAGUUCAGUCACAUCUGAAAAUUUCAGAGAUUUCACAGUCCUCAUUUGAUAUUCUUUUUCAUGCUGUGCCUUUCACCCUGCAGCAACAAGUGAUUGCUUUAGGAUAUUAUUUCAGGAAUGGGUAUGAGAAGACACUGGGGCUGAACAAAACACAACUCAUUGAUGUUGAUUUUAGUGUUUUGGAACAAGAAGAAUUUCUGUGUGAAUAUGAAAGUGAGGAAACAGAAGAGGAGGAAUGAGAAAGGAAGAAAGACUCUUACUUAUUAUGAGAAGGACUACUUGCACAUGACCUGUGUGAGUAAGGGCUGAUUUUUUCAUUGUUAUGGCCACAACAUUUCCUGUCAUAUAACACUGAGUAUAGUCCUAGAAAUUAUUGUCAUAUAGCAGCUGAUCACCAGUAAAACAGACACAGUUAACUCAGGGACAAUCAGCAAUUGUAAUGUAUUGUUCGAUAGCUGACAGUAACAGUAGCUGGAAUGGUUGCAUCCACAGCCAGGAUUUUGCGGUACUGGCUUUGACGCACUGAUUUAAUCUGAAGUGAAGACGAGGGUCUGAAACGUUAGUAGGAUCUGUAGCUAUGUGCAGCUGCAUGAGCAGACACUCCCUGUGUGCUGCGCUGCCAUUGCAAUAAAAAGGAACGCAGACCCCAGUGCUCUCCUCUCUCCCCUCUCCCCUCUUCCUCCUCCUCCUGUAGUGGAUCAACCACUGUUUGUUUUCCCUGUAAUCACUCAGGAGAAAAUGGAAGAAAGGACACGUACAUGAGGUUGAACAUGUUAACUUACUGGCUGUUUUUGUUUAGCAUAUAAAAGACAAUAACAAAAUCUUUGACUAAAAUGAAACCUAAGUUGUGCUUGUGGAAUUUGAUGAUUCAGACAAUCGUAGGCUUCCACUACCAUCUAUAUGUAUAUUUCCUAAAGAGUAAUAUCAGCAAACCUUCACAAGCAUUGGGGUGGGUAAUAAUAUUUCUUUAAGGUUCUUAGGAGAAGUGAAAGUCAUUUCAAAGGACUUUAAUUGCCAUGGCGUGAUUCCACUUCCUACUUAACUUUGUUUGCCUCAAGGUCCCCUCUGCAGAUUGUCAAAGGCAUGAUUUAGGUUUUUGGAAGCAGCUGAUGAUGCCAUAAAUCUGACCAGCCAGGGAGUGUGCUUGGAACUGGCAGUACAUUCUGUGUGUCCGAAUGUCACAAGGAACACUCCUGAGUGGAGCAACCUGGGACUGCGGGGCAGCCUGACCAUGCAAACAGACAGACAAGGGGGAAAGAGUGGAUUCAUGAGUUUAAUCUAGAGAAGUACAAUGCCAGUGUGAUUCUGGCCUCCACAGCGGUACUGUUAAAGAGACCUUGGUUGUUCUUCCUCGAAGUGGGGCCUGGGGAAUCUGGCCUAUAGUCAUACUGUUGAUGCACAGCAUCAGAAUAAGGACACGUGUCCUCCUGACUUUUUGCAUAGUUAAGUUUCAGAACUACUCUAGUAAAGGCAGACCUACUGCCUUAGGGCCCACUGGUCCCUAUCCUAACAGGUUAGCAUAGGAAAGUCGGGGAGCUAUAUGGUGCCCAGGUCUUUUUGCCUGCGUUCCCAUAGCAUUCUCAGGAGAGACAGAGAGAGUAAUUCCAAUGAACCACAGAUAGUUUAAGCAGAUUGUUCAAGGCCACACUAGACGUGUGAGGAAGCAACAGAGCCAGCCCGAGUCCUCCUUAUCGUGACUGAAAAUUAGAAUUCUUUUCACUAAAACAUGAAAUGCAGAUUUUACUUUCUCUGUCAAACAGUCCCCAGACAUUAUUCAUUAUAACCAGGCAUGAACAGAAAGAGUUUAAUUCCCAUUUCUUUAACAUUUAUUUGGGCUUCUCUUAACCUCCCACGGGGAGAGCCCCAGUAUUUCUCAGCUGUGAACCAAUGUUAGCUGCUGCCCUCAUACGUGAUGUGGACAUGGACAUCCCUUUUCUGGGUCACUCUGGGUAAAGGGAAGGAAGAGAGUCUCCUUCCCUGUACACAGGGCAAUUCAGGUGCCACACUCUUUAGAGCUGUAUUAUUUUAUUCAGUAUGUUGUGUCAUGUUUUAUAGCAAUGUUGGUUUUCCCAUUGUUUAUAGGUUAAACUUUUAAGAACUCUAGGGUAUUCAUUAUUUCUAAAGAAGAUUUUCAUCUAGGAAAAAAACUCUUAAAGAAGUUUCCCUGGUAAGGGUUUAUUUCUAGUUCAGGACUCUACCUCUUUUUUUGUUUGUUUUUGUUUCUGUUUAUUUAUUUAUUUUUUGAGAUACUGAUUUUAGAGCAUCCCAGAAGUGCUUCUUGGUAGACUAUCACCUACAAAUUUUAUCUUUCAGGUAAGGACUGGAAUCAUACAAAUAAGUGAAAAAAAUUAGGCUCUGGGUAGACAAAAGAGGUUGCUGAAUGGUUCAGGUCCUUGAUUCCUUGAUGAUUAAAUAGGUAUGAUAAAGCCAACCUCAUGGGUGGUCGUGAUGGCCAAAUUAGGGACAGGUGUGCAGUGCCAGUCCCAGCACUGGUACAAGGAAGGAGUCAAAUGUCAGCACCUUUCAUAUUCUGGGGAGUGGAAGAGAUUGGCAAAGGCCAGAGGCUGGGAACUGAUAGCAAGGGUCACCAAAUGCUGGAAACAGGGAAGGAACCUGGCAGAGUCCAAAAUACAUGGCAUUUCACCUUUACCAGAAGUAAGUUUCAGGAGUUGGGUGUGUUAUAUAUAUAUAUAUGGACCAACUCCACUCAGGAAUGCAAACAUUAUGUACUGCACACAUGUAAUAAUAAACUAAAAUAAAAGAGCAGUGAGUUGUAACCAUCUCCACUGCUUUGAUUCCAGGAUACCCAGACAUAUAUUGGCCAAUUUUACAGAGUUCUGUGCAUAUGCAAAGCUCUAUCUGACACCUUUUGACUGCCAGGCUUUGUAUCCUAGUUAUAGUACUUAAUAAUUGUGUGUUUUUUGGGCAAAUUCCCCCCCCCCCACAUUUCCUCCUCUGUAAGAUGGAGGUAAUAAUGGUCUCCACUUCAAGUGAUGUAAUAAGGAAUAAAUGUGAAGUACUUCUAUGGUACCUAGCAUGCAGUAAGUGCUCAGUAAAUGUUAUCAUAUGGCCCCUAGGCUAGGAAGUAUCUCCGGCUAUAUUAUUCAUGUUGUACAGCUGGGAAAAACUACUUUAACUCACUGAAUCAUUCUUCCAUUGCUGGGGCAAAAUACCUGAUGUAUACAACUGAAAAGAGAAAAGGUUUAUUUUGGCCCAGAGUCUCAGAGGUGUCAGGCUAUGGUCAGUUGACUUGAAAGCAGAAGCAUGACAGAAGGGCACAGCAGAGGAUGACUGUUCAGCUCAUGAAAGCCAAGAAUCACGAGAGUGAAGAAAGUCUCAGAAGAGAUGCACCCUUCAAAGACAUGCUCCAGUUCCUCCAGCUGUGGUGCCACUUAAUCCAUUGAUGAUGCUAACAUCCAGUCUGGUUCUCUAGUCCCGUCCUCUGCAUGUUGCUGCACAGGGGAUCAAAGCUUCAGUUUGUGAGGGGGUGUUUUGAGGGGGGUUGUAGGGUUUAUAUCUAGAUGUUCCCCCAAAGUUGCAGGUACCCAUGGAUCAUGCGUGUGGAUGACACUGGAUUAGCCAAUUGGUGGGUUUAUGGCUAGGUGUGAAGUAGGAGGGAGCACCUGGUGUGCUGCUGGGGGUGUGGCCCGGAAGGGUGUGUAUCUCUCUUUCUCCUCCCUGAAUGGCUCACUGCUUCCUGUCUGUCAAUCUGUUUCUCCUCUGCCAUCUCCCUGUGCCAUGUUGCCCUGCCUUGGAGCCUGCUGACUGUGGUCUGAAACCUCUACCAAACAGUUGAGCCAAAAUAAACCUUUUCUCCUUUAAAUGGUGAGUAUUGGGCACUGUGUCUUAACAAGAAAGUAACUAAGAUGGAGAUUAGUGACAAUGUGUCUUUUACAGUAACAGAUGUAAAUUUGUUUUUACUUUAUCAUAUUGUAUCAGUCAGUGUUUUAUUAGAGAAACAUAUAAAUGUGUAAGAAAUUACAAGAUUGGCUAACAGUGGUCAUGCACAGAGCUGGAUGAGGAAGCAUGUCUGCCACUGGAGGCUGAAGGGUUCAGUCCAGAGUCUGGAGCUCCCUGCAGUGUCCCGUGCAAGUCUGUUGCAGGAGGCUGAUGGGUAUGCAGUGAAAGUCUGAAGAGUCUACACAGGAAGACUGAAUGAUCCAAGGUAAGAGCUUAAGAGUAUGUGAUAGAAGCCAGGAGACGACAUCCAAGCUGAAGGCAAAACAAGAGCUCCUCUGAAGAACAGAAGCCAGGGUGUCCUUGUGCAUCUCCCUCUUAUACCGUUCAGGCGAGGAGCUGUCCUAGGGUCGGCCAUCCACACCCUGGGGUGUGGAGCUGCUGAGCCAGUUCAGGCAAGCUUCUAAACUUCUCAGGUUGACAUGAUCAGUCAACCAUUAUACAUCAUAUCUUGUAGAAUAAGUACAUUCAGUUCUUUCUGUAUUUCAGUUCUUUAUAUGUCUAUAAAACCUAUAUCUUUCUAAUAUUUGUUUUCAUAACUUGCAAUGCUUGAUGAAAGUUUCUCUCUGGUCAAGCUUUACGUAUUCCUUUGUCCACUUAGUUAUAAUAUUGAUACAUGCAGCAAUAGUAGACUAUUAAUUUUGGCCCAGUCACCUGGUGAGAAUAAUGGACCAGUGUUAAACCAUUUAUCUAAAGGCAUUGAAAAACCAGGGACUCAGCAAGGAUUAGAGAUUACUGAGAUCUUGAGAAGAAGCGAGGUUUCGGAGGGGUGAACUGAGCUUGGCUGUUAGAAAUUUGCUUACUGAGAAGUGGCAGCUAGGUGGCUGAUAGGCCACGUGGAAAGUGACUGGGCCACUAAGUGAAGUACAGAGCCAGCUCUCACAGGUCUGAGUGGAUAGUUGAGGUUCAGGACCAAAGAGGAGGACUUCAAUCCGGCACCUCAGCUGCACCCUCUACAGCUAAUCUUUGCACACUGUUCUUCCUUCCAGCACCCCAGUCGCCCCUGAAUGUGUCUGUGCAGUAGAUUAACCUGGUUCCACCAUUCUAAACAACUGACGCACAGCUGGAAAAGAAAAGCUGCCAUUUUGGCAAGGAGAGGGUGUUUUCCAAGAGAAUGGUGGCAAUUUCAUCAAACCAGGAUCAGAAAGAGGUUAAAAAGACAGAGAGGAAAGACUGCCAUUCAGGCCUCAUAAGAGUUGAAACCAAGUGACCAGCAGCUUGGCUUUUGAUGGAAUAUCAGUGCGGAGGAGUUAAACACGUUGCUGGUUAAGUAAAAGGACAAUAGCAAUACAGCUUACACUGAUACAGCGGAAUCUCGGCUCACAAACUGAAUUCGUCCUCUGAUUCUGGGGAAGAAGUUCAUGGUGGUGUUGGCAUCCAAGGCAGAAUUCAUUAAUGGGGGAAGCAAAAUUUUACUAAACUGUUCUGUUUGGGAAUCAAAUUGUUUGUGAACAGAAGUGUUCAUGAACUGAGAUAUUACUGUGUAUAUAUAUAUAUAUAUAUAAUAUAUUAUGUAAUUGAAUAUAAUAUAUACUUGAAUAUAAUAUAUACUGGUAUAUAUAUAUGUUUCACUGUCUUACACCGAAUUGUUUUAGAAUGUAGUAUAUCUAUAUAGCUUAUUUUGGGGUUGGAAUAUUAAUAUAUGUCAUGUAUAACCAUAAUUGGAAAUUUCCAAAUAUAAAAUUUCUUUAGAAUUCCAUGAAGUGAACAUGGCUCUGAGAGGUAGAAAGAGGUUUUAUUUGUUUUUUUUUAUGCAUGCAACUUUGUCAAUAUAGUACGUGACUGUCAUUUACAACUACUUUAUUGGUGAGGGAUCCAACAGGAUCUGCUGGAUCUAGUACACUGAUAUACUCAAAGUAACUGGGUAAAAUUUUCCAGUGCAUUUCUGUGUCAUGUUCUCUAUUCAAAUGAAGCACGGAAGAUGUCGUAUCAAGCUGAAAACUUAAAAUUCUUGAAAGAAACCUCUUACUUGAAAAUAUUUCAAAUUUACAGAAAACUUGCAGAAAGUAGAAUAAUAUAAAGAACAUGCCAAAGUCUGCACUAUGUUUGCCUAUUGUUACAACUCUGUUCCAUUUGUUUUCUUUGUAAUCCUUCUCCAUAUGUACAUAUAUCUUUUUCUAUAAUGUUAUAUAUAUGCAUAUAUACUCACACUAUUUCCUGAACCAUUUAAAGGUAAUUUACACAUAGUACUGCAUUUUGUCCGUAAGUAUUUGUGAGCAGACCAUUAUAUUUUCUUAUAUAAUCCCAGUACAGUUUCAGCUUCAGGAAAUUUAACAAUUGUGUCCUUUUGUCUAGGUUAGGAUCCGUGUUUUAAUUUUGGUAAUUGUCCCAGCAGUGGCCUGCAUGGCAUUUUCCUCUUAAAAUAGAGAAUCCAGUCUGAGUCACACGUUGCAAUGAGUUGUUAUAUCUGCAGCCUCCUUUAUUGUGGAGCACUUUCAUACCCAUCUUUUUUGACAUUGGUAUUUUUGCAGAAUACAGGCCCUUAUCUUUUUCCUAAUAAAACAUUUUUCCUCCUGUCAGGGCCCUCUCAUGAUUAGUUUCUGGCUAACUUGAAUGCCCAUUUUUUUCCAGCAUGCUCAAUAGCCGGAUCCUGUUUGCUUAACCAAAGGCAAAUGCAUCUCCUCUCGCAGAUGAUGUUAAUUUUGAUCAUCUGGUCAGGAUGUUGCCUGAACUUUCCAGUGUAUAAGUAAUUUUUUCUUGCAAUUAAUAAAUAGUAUGUGAAAGACACUUUAAGACCACAUGGAUAUUUUACUCUGCAUUAAAUUUUUCCUAUUUUAAAAUCCA